CUGCCGAAGUUGGCAUCAGAGCUGACCGCCAGUAAUAAUUGAAUCCUUUAUUUGUGUAUAUGUGUUUAAAUGUCCGAAGCGCUGCACGAGUUUAAUUUCUUGUUAAAAUAUGGCUGAAUCGAACGGUGCAGAAUUUCCUAGGCAAAAAUGUGUGGAGGAAAUUUUGAAAUUGCAUUUUAAGAAUAAAAGUUUUAAAAUUACAAAUGAUGCUGGGAUGCUUGUUGCUGAAAUUAUGAGAGAUUUUAUUAAAGAAAGUGCUGCCAGAGCUGUCAUGCAAGCUAAGAUUCUUUCUGGUGACCACCACCUUUCAUCAAUUGUUGCUAACAAUGUCUCAAACAUAUAACUAUAGCUUCUAUUUCCACUGAUGGAAAUUUGAAAACAUGUGAAGGCAACGGGCAGCAUCCUUUUGUAGUUACUGUAGAGCAUGUGGAGAAAAUACUUCCUCAGAUACUGCUUGAUUUCUAAUCAUUUCCUGACUGGGAAAAAUACAAAGAACUGAAUACAAAGAUGCAUAUAUGAAUUUCAAGGACCACUUUUCUUAACCCCUGCACUUCAACAUCAAACAUGUGUUUGAGUUAGAUAUUUUUGUUUUUUUGAAGUUAGCCAGAUUGCUGGCUAGUUUUAACACACUUGUCUUAUGUAAAAACUGGAUAUAUAUAAAUCAGACUAGGUGGAAAACUCUGACUCACAUUUCCUCCUAUCUUCUGUUAUAAUUUCAUAUUUUAUAUAAUUGUGUAAAAAAAUACUAAAUGCAGGGCAAAUUUAAAAUUGAGUCAAGUUUUCAUUUGUUCUGCUAUAUACAUAUAUAGGUUGAAUUUAAAUGUAUAGUUUCAACAAUUGUAAAUUCAUUGUUUAAAAGAAUUAAAAGAUUUUGUAUUGAAA